UACGGGGGGGGCAAGCGUUGUCGGAAUUACUGGGCGUAAAGGGCUCGUAGGUGGCCAACUAAGUCGGACGUGAAAUCCCUCGGCUUAACCGGGGAACUGCGUCCGAUACUGGUUGGCUUGAGUUUGGGAGAGGGAUGCGGAAUUCCAGGUGUAGCGGUGAAAUGCGUAGAUAUCUGGAGGAACACCGGUGGCGAAGGCGGCAUCCUGGACCGGCAUUGACGCUGAGGCGCGGAAGCCAGGGGAGCAAACGGG
rnacentral:rRNA from 1 species